GCCUGACUCAGAGUCGCUGUAAUGAAUGCUCGGGAAGUUAUGCAGAGAAAGGAGACGAUCCCAGUGAUUAAUGCCAAAGCCCUGUUGCCUGUGGAGGGGGUGAUGUUUGACUUUCUUGUACAGCUGCAGUUUGUGUGGUGAAGGUGCUCCCACAAUGUGGUUGGAUCCCAGUGAUUAAUGUCAAACCCCUGUUGCCUGUGGAGAGGGUGAUGUUUGACUUCCUUGUACAGCUGCAGUUUGUGUGGUGAAGGUGCUCCCACAAUGUGGUUGGGUGGACAUUCAGAUGGUAACCUUAGUCAUUGUAACACCAAACUCUGACAGAAUUACUCAAUUCACCAGGACCUGGAUAUUUGCAUUUAGUUCUGCUGAUCCCUUUGAGCGUUGGAGUUGAUGCAUCUGCUGCUACAAUGGCAUAAACCAUUGCAAGAGGCCCCUUAAUAAUAGGAGACGGAAACAUCCAGUGACACAACUGUGAUCCAUGGAGACUGGCAUCAAUCACAGUCACUGAACAAACAGCUCCAUUUAACCCCUUUCAGUAUGGUCCCUUCAGUUCACAAAAACUACUGGGCAGGAUUGAAUGUUGGCACCUUUGGCUAUUGAUCACAUUUCCCAUCACCCAUUGCUCUCGUGAAGUUAGUAGAGAGGGAGAAUGAUGCAUGUUUUCUUAUCGCAGGCUAGAUGAUUCUGAUGCGUUGUCCGUUUGCAAUACUGUAACUGGCUGAACCUCCCACCAUCACCACCCUCAAAAACCACAAUCUACAUGCUGUUACCGUGCAGAUCUCUCCUCGACUGGAACAGGAUAAUCCAUCACUGUACCAUUAUCAUCAAGCCGUGUGAUGGUUCAGUGACGAGUUUGGGUGAACAUACCAGAGUCAGAACCAUGUGUAUCUAAACCUGAUGACAACCCAUUAAAGCUACCGCAUUUGACUGGUUACAUUCCAAACAGCAGAACUACCAUCUGGUGGAGAAGGGGAAAUGAUCCCAAGACAAACAGAUAAGAUCUAAACUGUGCAAUCAAGCCACAUCCAGUCAUCAUUGUUGAUGGAUUAAUAAACAACUUACAGGAGAAGAUAACUCCACAAAUAUCCCCAGCCCCGUACAUCGGUGUAAAAGACAAGGAUGUAGUAUCUACACCAUCCUCAGCCAGAAGUGUUGAGUCGAUAAUCCACCUCACCCUACUCAUGAUGCCCACAGAAUCACAGAUGCCAGUCUUCAACAAAUUCGAUUCGCUGCACGUGACAUGAAGAAAAAGCUGAACACAGUAAAUAUGAUAACGGCAAUGGACCCGGACACAAUUCCUGCAAUAGGACUGAAGACUUGUGCUGCACAACAAGCCGUGUCCCUGAGGAAGCUGUUUCAGUCCAGCUCCAACUCUGAAAUCUGCCUGGCCACGAGGGAAGUUCCUCAACUAUAUCCAGUCCCAUAACAAGGGAAUGAUUACAGUCUGACCAUUUACCAUGCCUUCAGUCCCGUCGCGAUUAUCAUAUUGGUGGGAGUUAUUUUUGACAGAGCUGUCAUACAGCACAGAAAUAAUGUGCUCAGUUUAGUGAGUUUUCUAAAUUUCACUAUGAUCACUUCCAUUCUUUGAAAGUCUGAAGAACACAGGCCGAGUUUCCACAUCAGGCAAUCUCACCAUCUGAGGGACUAAUCUGGAGAAUGUCCAUUGCACACCCUCCGUGGUCAGUGUAUCCUUUCUCAGAUUGGGUCACCAGCACUGGUGAGGUCAAUGUACAGUUUCAUUAGCAAGCUGUGAUACUGCUUCAACAUGACCUUCAGACUAUGUUAUGAUUCUCUUAAAUGAAGGCGAACCUUACUUUAACUUUCCACUUCGAUAUA